CCUCCUGCUGUGCUCCACACGGACAACUGAAGAUGCGGAUAAAGACGGAAAUCUCUGCAGCUACUGGACAUAUGGUGCUGCGGUUCUGCCUCGCCGCCACUUCAUCGUUUCCUCUUCAUGCAGGGUAGAGUCUCAGAGCUGCAUGGCUGCAGGCCCAGGGACCUUCCGGACCUUCUGAACCUCUGCGUUUCUUCUGGUUCCUCACCUUUCAUCCUCUGAGGAACCACAAGACCAGCUGCCCCACAGCAGGACCAGGCAGGUCAUUGGAUCGGACUCCGUCAGAGCUGAGGCUGUAUCGUAACCAGGCUGUGAAGAGCUCAAGCAUGGUCGGAUCUGAAGCUGUGGACCGAGCAGCCUGCUGUAAACUGGACACAGGACAGGGGGACAGGAGCAGGACAUCCAGGAGCUGCUGAGGGCCAUGGUUUCCAGGAAGGAGCUUAAAAAAGGAGAGAAUUUAAAAACUAGUGUCAGCGAAAAGUAUCUAGGAGAUCAAGAUAAGGCUGCAGGUGCCAAAGGAGCCGUCAGCAGGUGUCACCUGUUUGGUUGCCAGGUCUUGUUUUGCUCCAGCCCUGCUCACCUGCAGCUCCAAGCAAGAGGUAGAAACACACCCAGAGCCCUGACACAGGCAGCAGCCAGGAGUUGUUGGUUCAAUGGCCUAAGCUGGCAGAGAGCUGCUAAGUUUUAGAGAGAAUAGGAGAUCAUCCGGCCUCCAAGGUAAGCUUUUAAAAAUCUGCUCAGCUAAGAAUUGGGUCAGUAUCAGACUGGUUAAAAGUAUUGAGUUCAUAAACCGAGGGUUGAUAAAUGUAUGAAGUUUAACAUUUGAUAAUGAUGGGUUUGACAUCCACUCAGUAGAGCAGCAGGGUCCAGGUGAGAGAUGAAUAUCUGGAGAAAUCGUGAUAGGGUGGUACGAUACGUCUGUCACUAUGGGAAUUAAUUAGAAAUAAAAACUGAUCAAUGUGAGAAAUUAUCUGGUGUACGGUGAAUAUAAACAUUACAGCGGGGGUGCUACGUUCACCUCUGACGUUUCUGCUUCACUCUCCUUCUGUUGGUCAAGCUCAAAGCUCAUUUAUCUUCUGUCUGGAUUACUUUCUCUGCUCUGUGUCAAUAAAAAGCAGCAACUUGA